GAUGAACGCUGGCGGCGUGCCUAAUACAUGCAAGUCGAGCGAACAGACGAGGAGCUUGCUCCUCUGACGUUAGCGGAGGGCGGGUGAGUAACACGUGGAUAACCUACCUAUAAGACUGGGAUAACUUCGGGAAACCGGAGCUAAUACCGGAUAAUAUCUUGAACCGCAUGGUUCAAUAGUGAAAGACGGUUUUGGUGUCACUUCUAGAUGGUUCCGCGCCGCAUUAGCUAGUUGGUAAGGUAACGGCUUACCAAGGCUACGAUGCGUAGCCGACCUGAGGGGGUGAUCGGCCACACUGGAACUUAGACACGGUCCAGACUCCUACGGGAGGCAGCAGUAGGGAAUCUUCCGCAAUGGGCGAAAGCCUGACGGAGCAACGCCGCGUGAGUGAUGAAGGUCUUCGGAUCGUAAAACUCUGUUAUUAGUGAAGAACAAAUGUGUAAGUAACUAUGCACGUCUUGACGGUACCUAAUCAGAAAGCCACGGCUAACUACGUG
rnacentral:rRNA from 1 species